UACGAAGGGGACUAGCGUUGUUCGGAAUUACUGGGCGUAAAGCGCACGUAGGCGGGUUUGUAAGUCAGGGGUGAAAUCCCGGGGCUCAACCUCGGAACUGCCUUUGAUACUGCAAAUCUCGAGUCCGAUAGAGGUGGGUGGAAUUCCUAGUGUAGAGGUGAAAUUCGUAGAUAUUAGGAAGAACACCGGUGGCGAAGGCGGCCCACUGGAUCGGUACUGACGCUGAGGUGCGAAAGCGUGGGGAGCAAACAGG
rnacentral:rRNA from 1 species